rnacentral:lncRNA from 1 species
ACCUGCAAAGUCAAAAGAAAAGAUAAAUAACCACACAUAUCAUCUCAAAUACAUUGUUAGCACUCAAGUAAAUGCUAGACCACCUCAACUAUUUGAAAGCUUAGAGGAUCUCACUUAUAAGCACACCUACAUUGAUAUAAUUCGUAAGAUGCAUUCAAUUUUUUCAAUAGACAGCUGGAAAAAUAGAAAUGAAGAUUUAAAGAGGUGUUCAAACCGAAUAGACAAAAAUGGUGCAUAACUGAGGAUUUGGAUCACUCCUUCAUCAGGGCAUUCCAUGAAUAACCUAAACCCAUUAAUUACAAAAUGCAAAUAGGAUUGCGAAAAUGGAGGCUUUAUAUUACAAUACGCAUCGCUCCAUAUAGAUACAGCUGAAUUCCAUGGACAUGAAUGUAACUGUUCCCAUGCCAUCUCUUUCGAUGCUUCCGCAGAACGCCAGCAUCGGAACCAGUGAUUUCACUCGCGACUUCUCCGGUGAUUUUUCCAGUGACGGAUGUUGCUGAUGUGGACAUGGUGGAAACUCGAAAAAUCGAGAUAGUUAAGUUACAAAACUCAGAAGGUUUCAGAUAGUUUAGGUACGAAACUCAGAAAGCUCCAGAUAGUUCACGUACGAAACUCAGAAAAAUCCAGGUAGUUGAAAUACGAAACUCAAAAGAAUCCAAAUAGUUCAGGUACGAAGCUAAACAAAAUUGAGAUAGUUUAGGUAUGAAACUCGAAAAAUCCAGAUAGUUCAGGUAUGAAACUCGCAAAAUUGAGAUAGUUAAGGUAUGAAACUCGAAAAAUCCAGAUAGCUGAGGUACGAAACUCGAAAAAUCAAGAUAGUUGAGGUACGAAACUCGAAAAAUCAAGAUUGUUGAGGUACGAAACUCGAAAAAUCAAGAUAGUUCAGGUAUGAAACUCAAAAAAUCAAGAUAGUUCAGAUAUAAAACUCAAAACAAAACUAAAAUUGAGUGACAAACCUCACCUCCGCCACGUUAGUAUCUCCCAAAACAAAUUCAAUCUCCAAUUCACCUUUUUCAACACUCUUUCAUGCUUUCUCCAUCAAUUUUGCAAUUGUGGCAUUCAGUUCAUCUCUAAACAACAUCCCUCCCAUAGUAAUCCCCAUAUCUAAAUCCUUAAUCGCUUAAUUAAACUCACAAUUACCAUAAUGAAUUUUCUCUAAAUGCAUACACGAUGUUGAAUGAACGUCUCUCCAUAUAGGUACAAUUGGAUUCCAUGGACCUGAAUGUAACUGUUCCCAUAUCAUCUCUUUUGCUGUUUCAGCAGAACGCCAGCAUUGGAACCGGUGAUUCCACUGGCGAAUUGUCCGGUGAUUUUCCUGGCGACUGAGGUUGCUCUCGUGGACAUGGUGGAAACUUGAAAAAUCGAGAUAGUUGAGGUACAAACUCUCGAAAAAUCGAGACAGUUGAGGCAUAAAACUCGAAAAAUUGACAUAGUUGAGUACGAAACUCGAACAAUUGAGAUAGUUGAGGUACGAAACUCGAAAAAUCGAGAUAGUUGGAAGUACAAAACUCAAAAAAUCGAGAUUGUUCAUAUAUGAAACUCAAUAUAUCUAUAUAUCAAGAUAGUUCAGACAUACCACUCAAAAUAAAAGUAAAAUUGAGUGACGAACCUCACCUCCGCUACAUUAGUAUCUCCCAAAACAAAUUCAGUCUUCGAUUCACUUUUAUCAACGCUCCGCGCUUUAUCUUUCACCAUCGCUUUUGCAAUCGCGGUAUUCAAUUCAUCUCAAAACAAAUUCCUCCCAUAAUAAUCCCCAUAUCUAAAACCUUAAUCACCUUAAUCACUUCAUUAAACUCACAAUUACAUAAUGUAUCUUCGCUAAAUUCAUACACGAUGUUGAAUUCGCAUCUCUCCGGAUAGGUACAACUGAAUUCCAUGGACCCGAAUGUAAUUGUUCCCAGGCCAUCUCUUUCGCUGCUUCCGCAGAACGCCAGUCGAAACCCGUGAUUUCACCAGCGAAUUCUCCAGUGAUUUUCCUAACUAUUGAGGUUGCUGACGUGGACAUUGUGGAAACUCGAAAAAUCGAGAUAGUUGAGGUACGAAACUCAGAAAAAUCCAGACAGUUCAGGAAUGAAACUCAAAAAAUCGAGAUAGUACAAGUACAAAACUCAAAAAAACUGAAAUAGUUCAGGUACGAAACUCAGAAAAAUACAGAUAGUUCAGGUACAAAACUCAAAAAUCGAGAUAGAUCAGGUAUAAAACUCAAAAACUCGAUAUAGUUCAGGUG